rnacentral:misc_RNA from 1 species
AAAAAGAGUAAAAGGUGCAACCUCCUGGGGAGGAAACUACAUUUGUGAAGAAUUGCAAGGAUCUUCUCUAAUUCUUCUUUUGCCUACACAUACAAGACUUUUUGGCCUCAUGAUACAACUUCAAUUUGCUAAAGGACUACAUAUUACUCUCUCCAUGAUGACCAGAGUCUGUUAGGGAUGAAGAUGCAACUGUCUUGCCUUCGCUUUCUGAUGAUGUUGUCGGAUCCAUAUGCAUGCUACCCUCAGCCUUUGGCUGUUGUAGAAGUUGGAGUUGCCUUUGCAGGACCUGUAGAAUGGAUAGAAAUGGCAAGGAUGUAAGAAAUCAGGAAGAGAAAUAAAUAUAAUGCCGUUUGUCACUCUUGUAUGAGAGUUUUGUCACUCUUGUUCUAAGGACAAUUGUUAAUAUUGGGUAAUGUCAUUUCAUGAAUAUCAUGCACUGAAUUUCACAUAACAAUUCAGAUUAAUGUUUGUGCAUUGUCAUUUUUUUAGUAGUGUGUAAUUCAUAUUUUGAUCAAUAUAAACACAGUACCAUCAAUUAAUCAUGUCAAAAAUUCAAAUAUGAACAUGACAACACACACUAAACACAACCUACCUAAAUGUAAAACAUGUUUAUACAUUUAGUUACUACUAUUCCUCUUCGAUCUCAUUUCGUUGCAAACAUCAUAAUUUCUAAGGUAACAACUGGCAAGUUCAUCCUACAUUUUUUAAAGAUUACAUUGAAUAUAAUAAAUAUGUAGAAAAAAUUUUAUGCUUGAUUAAUUGUGUCAAACGUGUGCUCAUUGGCAAGUAAUUUAUGAUGCUAACACAAUCAAGGCAAAACACAAAUGCUCUAAUUUCGUUCAUCUUCACAUGUUAGGUCCAAUUUGCUUCCCCUAGGCUUUCCAUUCGAUCCAUAAAUUAAACCACAUUCAUAACAUCAUUGCCCAGUAAAAACUUCAAAGCAGAUAACACUAGCAAGACACCAACAAACACGAUUGACACCCUCAUUCAAAACUUGAAAUAACAUACAGAAAUAGACAUAUAAAAUUUAAAAAAAAUAUAUUAAAACAGAAAUUUCAUAAGAUCAGCGAACAGAUGGCACCUCAAUCUGGUGUUCGAGAAGCUUUUUCUGAGCUUCCAACUCAGAGUUUGGUACACUGCCCAACCUAUCUCCAUAAUUUGCAUUGGCACCAGGUACCUGAAAGGGUACAAAGAUACAGUGUGAAAAUUGUGGUAGGGACAAGUUUGAAGGCCCAGCAUGGAAUGCAGACUCUUGCUGUGAUUGUCCUAUGAAGGCCUGUUCUCUACUAGACUCUCCAUUAGCAGCAUAAGCCAAAGGCCUUUGAGCUUGAGGAAGCAAGGUAUAUCCAGGAGACCUGCAAAAAUUUCGAAAAUAAAUUUAUAACAGGCCACUUAGUUAAGCCAGAAACACAGGGCCUCUACCACCUUUAAAAGUAAACAUUUGAGUUGGGAAUGUAGAAGCUGUAAAGUUAAUCAUGAACACCUCAAAAAUUUUUAUCAUGUCUGGUUGUAUACAUCAGCAAACAAAUCAAACCUAUGGUUAGUUGACCAAAAGCUUAUACCCUAUACAAUUUCAUAAUACAUUUCUUUGAUUGCUUUAUGUAAGGCAGAUGUAAAGUGGGGAAACAUAUAUGAUAAUAUGAAUAUACGUUUCACAUAAGAGGCAUUGCACUUCAAACUUUUUGAGAUAGGUUGCAGACUGGGAAAUGUGAUGGGCAUGCAUGCACACAUUCCCAUCUGCGUCACAUGUAUAGAAUGUCUGUAUUGCAAGAGUAGGCAUCCACAGAUAUAACUGACCAAAAGUAAGGUUGGGAAAUGGAUAUAAAAAGAGCAGGCAUGCAUGUUGCUUUAACAAUAUAGAUAUGUUUUCAUAGCAUAUAAGCGCAUACCAAACUAGAGUGUUUGCAGAAGGAUAAACAAAAGAUUUCUCAUAUACAGCGGCAGCAGCAGCAGCAGCUUGGAGCCUGGUCUGAUGCUGGCUCAAAUUAUCAUCUGGCAUACUGCCAACUGAGCCCUGCAGUCCUGUACUUGUGGUGCCGGUCCCCUGCCGAUGAGUAUCUGAUCGCGACCCAUGUUGUCCUCCAGCUGUACUUGCACCAUUCUCAGGUGGUACAACGAGGGCCCUGCAUGUAGGACAAGUAUGCUGCCUCUCCAACCAUGAACGGAGACAAUGAACAUGAAAGAGAUGUCCACAGUUUAAUUUUUUGGCUGUUGUCAUCUCUUCACGACAAAUAAUGCAGGUUGCAUCACUUGCAUUGAGCUCUUCAGGUGUUGCAUCUGGAAACCGAUCAUUCAUAUUUGAAGUGAUCUUCCGGUAACGAAUGUAAUCAGCAACACGAAGUCUGAAAUUCCUGAAUGUCUCAUAGAGCUCCCUUAUUAAGUGUAAAGGUACACCAUAGUUCAUGAAAAUCACAAGGAAGAAGCAGAGAUACAUAGAUAAGUGAAGCAAAUCUCGAAUAAGUUCCAAGUAGAAGGUGUAGACAGCCUUUUUUUCCCAUUGUCCUUCUAAUAGCAUGUCACUCACAUAGAAAAUAUACUUUACAAAAGUAGAGACUGUUGUCGUUGCUAGUAUCAUAUACUCAAAGGAGAAGAAGAGAGAAACUGAAGCCUGGCGUGUUUCUAUCAAAUACUUAAUAGAACUGUACAAAAACAGACUGUCUAGAAGAAGAAGGAACCCGAGAAAUGAAACUAUCCGAAUGUGAGACAACAUGGGCACUGAUGGGGUUGUCUCGAUGUACUCUACCCUCUUUUGGGCUAACCAAUGUAAUGCCUUGAUUAACAGUAAAGCUGUGACCAUAGCAAGAAACAUCACUGAGAAGUCCUGCCUGAAAAUAGUGAUAGCAAAGAGAAUUUCCAUAACCUCUCUCCAUGACUGCUCAUUCAACCUUUCAACCUCAGCUUCUCGGAGGGAACCAAGGAAUACCCGUUUAGUUAAUUGCCAUAAAAUGCACAUAAUGACUAGACCCAUGUUAAGAAGAAGCACCAAAUUGAUCUUAGAGGUCGACAAAUAAACCAUAGCUGGAUAAAACUGGCCUCUACUGUUGAAUGCAUGAUAAAUAACUGCUAUAGUUGCCACCAAACUAAGGCUAGCAUAUGUACGCAGCCGCAUCAUUUUCACCGAGUCUGCUCUGAAAAAUUUCCUCGAUUCCUUCAAAAUUUCUGAUCCCUAUACCGGUUUUUCUUUUCA